rnacentral:rRNA from 1 species
AGCAUGCCGCGGUGAAUACGUUCCCGGGCCUUGUACACACCGCCCGUCACACCAUGAGAGUCGGGAACACCCGAAGUCCGUAGCCUAACCGCAAGGGGGGCGCGGCCGAAGGUGGGUUCGAUAAUUGGGGUGAAGUCGUAACAAGGUACC